UGGGGAAUUUUGGACAAUGGGGGCAACCCUGAUCCAGCCAUGCCGCGUGAGUGAAGAAGGCCUUCGGGUUGUAAAGCUCUUUCAGCCGGGAAGAAAUCGCAUCAGCUAAUACCUGGUGUGGAUGACGGUACCGGAAUAAGAAGCACCGGCUAACUACGUGCCAGCAGCCGCGGUAAUACGUAGGGUGCGAGCGUUAAUCGGAAUUACUGGGCGUAAAGCGUGCGCAGGCGGUUGUGUAAGACAGGCGUGAACUCCCCGGGCUCAACCUGGGAACUGCGUUUGUGACUGCACAGCUAG
rnacentral:rRNA from 1 species